rnacentral:rRNA from 1 species
CCUACGGGUGGCUGCAGUAGGGAAUAUUGGACAAUGGGCGCAAGCCUGAUCCAGCCAUCCCGCGUGAAGGAUUAAGGCCCUCUGGGUUGUAAACUUCUUUUCUUUGGGAAUAAAAACUCCGAUUCAUCGGAGCUUGAAGGUACCAGAGGAAUAAGCACCGGCUAACUCCGUGCCAGCAGCAGCGGUAAUACGGAGGGUGCAAGCGUUAUCCGGAUUCACUGGGUUGAAAGGGUGCGUGGAAGUCAUUGGUGAAAUCCCGGGGCUCAACUCCGGAACUGCCAUUGAUACUGCUUAGCUUGAAUCAGGUCGAGGUGGAUGGAAUAUUACAUGUAGCGGUGAAAUGCUUAGAUGUGUAAUAGAACACCGAUUGCGAAGGCAGUUCACUAGGCCUGUAUUGACACUGAGGCACGAAAGCGUGGGGAUCAAACAGGAUUAGAUACCCUUGUAGUC